rnacentral:misc_RNA from 1 species
AACUGAUACUACCUGCGGGAACCUGCGGAGGGAUCAUUACUGAAGUGAUUUGGGGAUGUUGCUGGCCCUCUCUCAAGGGGGGGCACUGUGCACUCCUCGAAACAGUUCACAAUUUCCAUCACACCCCUUGUGCACACCUUGUAGGCACCCAAACCCACCUCCGGGUGGUGGGGUCCUAUGUAUUCCUUCAUCUCACACUCUGUUGAAUGGUGCCAUGGGACGCAUCUAAAGGAUUAUUUG